CCUCUACUUCUUAACAACAGGCGAGGCACGAGGCUCCAGAUUGGGCCGUCCUAUUCCGAAUAGGAGACUGGAGACUGGAUACUGGAUGAAACGGCGUCGUACAGGAUCCGUUUGCCGUAUGAUAUGAUCUCAUCGUCUUUCUUCUCCAAAGACCACUCGCCUGCGUCUCCACAGACAAAAACCCUGGCAGGCUUUCCAUUCUGAACAUCCCAAUCGAAGAAAGAAAAACAGAUCAGAGUCUUGGAUCUGAAUUUCCUUAAAAAAGGGUAGCUUACAAUGGCGGGGAGAAAUCGCAUUCCUAGUGAUGCAUUUGACAGUCGGCGUGGGUAUCCCCUAGAAGGACCUCUUUUUCGGGGUCCUAUGCCUCAUCCUGCCAUGUUGGAGGACGAGCUUCAGAUGCAACAUGUUGAAAUCCGGAGGCUUUUGGGUGAAAAUCGGAGGCUGGUUGAAGAUCGGAUGGCUCUGCAGCGCGAGCUUGGUGCUGCUAAGGAGGAACUUCAUCACAUGAAUCUUGCCAUAGCUGAUAUCCGUGGAGAACAAGAAAUGCAUUCAAGGGAGCUAAUUGAGAGAGGGUUGAAGCUGGAAGCUGAUCUUCGUGCUACAGAACCUUUGAAAAAUGAGGCAAUACAGCUUCGUGCUGAAGUUCAAAAGCUGAAUACUAUUAGGCAGGAUCUGGCGGGGCAAGUUCAGAACCUCACACAAGACCUUGCAAAAUUGAAAGCUGAUAAUCUGCAGAUUCCACUUUUGAGGGCUGACAUUGAUGGACUGCACCAGGAGCUUAUGCGUGCUAGAAAUGCUAUUGAUUAUGAAAAGAAGGCAAAUAUUGAGCUGAUGGAACAAAGACAAGCGAUGGAGAAGAACUUGGUUUCCAUGGCACGUGAAGUUGAAAAGCUACGUGCAGAACUUGCAAAUACUGAUGGCAGACCAUGGGUUUCUGGUGGGCCCUAUGGGAUGAAAUUCAGCAGCCCUGAGGGAGGUUUUCCAGCACCUUAUGGAGAUGGAUAUGGGGUUCAUCUGGGUGCUGCUGACAAGGGUCCUUUGUAUGGUCCGAGUUCUGCAUCAUGGGGAGGACUUGAGAAACCUUGGAUGACUCGGCGCUGAGAGAGCUGGAUCGUUUUGAGUUUGCAUUGCAAAACAAGAGCACCUUGUAGUAGUCUGCUAUCCAGUAUAUAAAUGGGCCAGAAGUGUUUACUUCUUAUAUUGUUUCUGCAAUAUCUUUCAAUGUUCGAGAUAUUCUGGACACCCUCAGGGUAGAAAGUUUGCUCCUUUAUGCAUUAAAAUGAGCCUGGAAUAUCUGAUGAAAGGAUGGUGCACGUGCCAUGUGACGAAAACUUCAUAGGUCGAAAGCUGGUAUCUGCUGUCUCAAGGGAUUGAUGAGUUGAGAUUCAUGAAAGGUGAAUAGGGGUUUAGCCACUAUCCCUUCAAUCAAGAAUUGAACAAGGUAAGAUUUGUGAAACCACUGGGAUGGAUUGAAUUAAACCGGUGGUUGUCAUGGGAGGGUUUCCAUUGGCUUGAGAUUUUGCAAGAAUUAGAGCAAGUGGAAUUUAUAUUGGUCAAAAUAGCCAUUGAAGAGAUUAUUUAGGCUGUUGGAGAGGCAAGCUGAAAACUUGCCCCGACACCUAUUCAUUUUCAUAGCUCAAAAGGUCUCAUAUGGAAGAUGCUCAGUUUAGGUUAUCGAUGUACAUUUUGCAUCUCCUCUGACAACCAUUUCACAGCCCUCUGCAUAACUAAAAGGUAUAUAUUUCUAAUGGUUUUCCCUUCUCUCUCUUCCUCUAUUCCACUUAGGGGGAAAAAACCUUUUUGUUUUUUAUAUCACUUUUAUUCAUUCUUAAUUUCAGAAUCUAAAACAUGUUUAUAGUGCCAAGAGACAUUUUUCUGUCCAUUGAUAUUACUUUGAACCCUCUACUGCCGACUGAUUAGAUGAGGAGAUUUCCAUACUAUUUUCUCAAUAAUGCUUGCUGCUGCUGAUCAGCUGGAUUGGAUAUUGCGGGCAUACGUGCUUUCUUGCUCAUGUAUGCACCAUGGAGGAAUAUGUUGUUGCAUUCUAUCUUAUAGCUCUUCAUUCUUUUUCUUUCGCAUUUUAAAAUGAACUGUUUGAUGGAUGGAAGACUGUCAGUUUCAGCAGUGUUUGAUAAUUUUCUUUUUCCAUGGUAAAGAAUUUGUUCUUGUUUACACUAGAAUAUGGGAAUCAAUUAAGCUAAGUUGUACACUUUAUACCUUCCCCUUCUCUUCACUUCAAUUGGGAAAUAAGGUCAUGAAGAACAUUUCUUUGCUGAUUAGAUUAGAGUCUGUUAAAUUUAA